GAUGAACGCUGGCGGCGUGCCUAAUACAUGCAAGUCGAGCGAACGGACGAGAAGCUCGCUUCUCUGAUGUUAGCGGCGGACGGGUGAGUAACAAGUAGAUAACCCACCUAUAUGACUUGGAUAACUUCGAGAAACCGGAGCUAAUACCGGAUAAUAUUUUGAACCGCAUGGUUCAAAAGUGAAAGACGGUCUUGCUGUCACUUAUAGAUGGAUCCGCGCUGCAUUAGCUAGUUGGUAAGGUAACGGCCUACCAAGGCAACGAUGCAUAGCCGACCUGAGAGGGUGAUCGGCCACACUGGAACGGGGACACGGUCCAGACUCCUACGGGAGGCAGCAGUAGGGAAUCGUCCGCAAUGGGCGAAAGCCUGACGGAGCAACGCCGCGUGAGUGAUGAAGGUCUUCGGAGCGUAAAACUCUGUUAUGAGGGAAGAACAUAUGUGUAAGGAACUGUGCACAUCUUGACGGUACCUAAUCAGAAAGCCACGGCUAACUACGUG
rnacentral:rRNA from 1 species